GCCAGGCGAGGUGGCGCACGCCUGUAAUCCCAGCUACUCAGGAGGCUGAGGCAGGAGAAUCGCUUGAACCCAGGAGGUGGAGGUUGCAGUGAGCCAAGAUCACACCAUUGCACUCCAGCCUGGGUGACAGAGCGAGACUCUGUCUCAA
ensembl:misc_RNA Metazoa_SRP Metazoan signal recognition particle RNA